rnacentral:rRNA from 1 species
UACGGGGGGAGCAAGCGUUGUUCGGAUUUACUGGGCGUAAAGGGCGCGUAGGCGGCCACCGCAAGUCGGUUGUGAAAUCUCCGGGCUUAACCCGGAAAGGUCAAUCGAUACUGCGGGCUAGAGUGCAGAAGGGCAACUGGAAUUCUCGGUGUAGCGGUGAAAUGCGUAGAUAUCGAGAGGAACACCUGCGGCGAAGGCGGGUUGCUGGGCUGACACUGACGCUGAAGCGCGAAAGCUAGGGGAGCGAACGGG